rnacentral:rRNA from 1 species
UACGUAGGGUGCGAGCGUUAAUCGGAAUUACUGGGCGUAAAGCGUGCGCAGGCGGUUUUGCAAGACAGAUGUGAAAUCCCCGGGCUUAACCUGGGAACUGCAUUUGUGACUGCAAGGCUAGAGUACGGCAGAGGGGGGUGGAAUUCCCGGUGUAGCAGUGAAAUGCGUAGAGAUCGGGAGGAACAUCAGUUGCGAAGGCGGCUCUCUGGACCAGUACUGCCGCUGAGGCACGAAAGCGUGGGGAGCAAACAGG